rnacentral:rRNA from 1 species
GUCCACGCCGUAAACGAUGAAUGCUAGGUGUUAGGGGUUUCAAUACCCUUGGUGCCGAAGUUAACACAUUAAGCAUUCCGCCUGGGGAGUACGCUCGCAAGAGUGAAACUCAAAGGAAUUGACGGGGACCCCGCACAAGCAGUGGAGUAUGUGGUUUAAUUCGAAGCAACGCGAAGAACCUUACCAGGUCUUGACAUCCCUCUGAAUACUCUAGAGAUAGGGUAGGCCUUCGGGACAGAGGAGACAGGUGGUGCAUGGUUGUCGU